rnacentral:rRNA from 1 species
UACGUAGGGUGCAAGCGUUUGUCCGGAAUUAUUGGGCGUAAAGAGCUCGUAGGCGGUCUGUCGCGUCUGCUGUGAAAACUCAGGGCUUAACCCUGAGCUUGCAGUGGGUACGGGCAGACUAGAGUGCGGUAGGGGAGACUGGAAUUCCUGGUGUAGCGGUGAAAUGCGCAGAGUAUCAGGAGGAACACCGGUGGGCGAAGGCGGUUAGCUGGGCAGUUGCUGACAC